UGUAAACGAAAAUACCACUGGGAUAGGAAAUUAAACUUUGAAAUUAUCAUUUCCUUGGAGCACAGCCAGGGCAUAAACAACAAAUAUAAACCAAGAAUAAAGAUGCAAAUAAUUCAUUGAUUUUGGCAGGCAGUUAAAAAUCGUUUGUACGAAGCUCGGGCGGCCGUCUUAAUUCCACUGAUUCCCCCGAAAAUCUCCCUGUCUUAGUGAUUACACAGGGGUUAGAUCCAUCACGGAUAAGCAUGAAACCAGUUUACUUAUUGGGAUAGUCCUAGUCCGGAUGACAAACCAGCGGAAAGAUGGAAGUUUAUGUUUUCUACCACCCAGGAGCAAAUUAGUAAAGAUUGAGUAGAGAAUCACUAUAAUACCGCAACCAUCGCUCGUAUAUUCUAAGAAUUCUGUAAACGUUGACUUUGACUUCAGUCCUCGAUUACAUUUGGAUUUUAAGGUGAACAUGUAUAGUGCCCAUUAGAAUAGGCUGUACAAUGGAAUCUAAUGGUGAGGUCCCGGAAGAAGACUUUAUAGCGACACUUCUGAAACAAUCGUCUGGAGUGUCACAUGUCAACAAGGCGUAUUCCACGACACCGACAGGAACUUCCGGUCCCCCGGAUCUUGUCAGAAAUUGCCACCACCAAGUUAGACACAAUGGUCACCACUACGGAGGUAACCACGUGACGAUAUUGGCCCCCAAGGACAAUGCCAGCCCCCACGCUAGUCACUCAAGUCUGACGGAUCCCUUGUUGGAUGACAAAGUUUAUUCAGCUCUAGCUUACGGCAUGUACGGUCUACUAUUGUUUAUCCUUACCAUGGUAACGACAAUUUGCUUGAUUGUAUUCACGUGAAUUACCCCGUUUUCUCAUUACAAAAUCAUCAACAUGAGGAAAUUAAUUUCAUGGCAUCGUGAUAUUUCCUUUAACUCCUUACUCAGAUCACGAAGAAAAAUAAAUCGGAUUUUCCAAUUCUACACGCAAUGGCAAAAGUCAUUGUACCAUCGAUUCGGGAUCAAUGACAGCAUACCUAGUGCAAAAGAAACUCUGGACAACCUUUACAAAUCUGCAGAAACCGCCUGUCUUGGCGGAAAAAACAUCCAAAGAUAUGUUCCCUAAUUCUAUUCAAAGGUACAACAAUGCGGUGUAAUGUGCUAUACUGGAAUGAGAAAUGCUGGAUCUGAAUAGGUUUACUUAAACGGGUUUUUUGCUGGAACUUUUAAGUGAAAGACUGCUUAGAAACUGUCAGAAACGGUCCUUUAAACAAUGCUUUUUUUUUAUUUGUUAAUAAAGAAAUAUUUUACUUGA